rnacentral:rRNA from 1 species
CAAUAGCGUAUAUUAAAGUUGUUGCAGUUAAAAAGCUCGUAGUUGGAUUUCUGCGAGGGUGCCAAUGUCCGCCGACGCGCGUGCGCAGCGGCGCCCUCGCAUCCUUCUGUUACCACCUCUCGGCAUUCACUUGCCGGUGGUCGGCUCAGAGAAUUUACCUUGAGAAAAUUAGAGUGUUUCAGGCAGGCUAGGCCGGAAUACAUUAGCAUGGAAUAAUGGAAUAGGACUACGGUCUCGUUGUUGGUUUGAGGGACUGCAGUAAUGAUUAAUAGGGAUAGUUGGGGGCAUUAGUAUUUAAUUGUCAGAGGUGAAAUUCUCAGAUUUGUUAAAGACUAACUUAUGCGAAAGCAUUUGCCAAGGAUGUUUUCAUUAA